AAAAAUAUUUGCGCGCCUACCAUAUGCCAGGCGUACUUCCAGGCACUGUUUUGUAUGAUGGUGCUCAUUUUUUCUGUUUUCUCCUCUAGAUGCUAUCUUCUCGCUUUCCUGUGUGUUGGGAGGCUGAAUUUUAUGAACGUCUCUAUAGGGAUUCUGCACGUUCUGAAUUCAGCUAACGGAAUAUACUAGCAGGAAGAUGAAAGUGCAGAGAGUAUAGUCAGGAGACUUAUUUCCUUGGACUUUUCCCCAGUGGCUUCCUUGAGUCAGCUUCAUGCCUCCUCUCCUGAUGAUGUUCCCCUCCUAAGCUACUCUCUGUUGGAGUAGCCCCCUCCACUGGCCCCAGUCCCUGGACGAGGGUUUUAGCGAGUAGAAUUGAACUUGGAUUGAAUCGGGCAGUGCCUACGUAAGUCUCCACUACCUUAGUCUGUGUUUCUCCACUCCUUCCAAGUGACCUCCAGCAGAGGAAAGCAGUGAUAGGUUGGCUGGG
rnacentral:lncRNA from 1 species